CCCUUAGAUGCUCUGGGCCGCACGCGCGCUACACUGGUCGAUGCAACGAGUUUCUUUCCUUGGCCGACAGGCCUGGGCAAUCUUUGAUCAUCGAUCGUGAUCGGGAUAGAUUCUUGUAAUUUUUGAUCUUAAACGAGGAAUUCCUAGUAAACGCAAGUCAUCAGCUUGCAUUGAUUACGUCCCUGCCCUUUGUACACACCGCCCGUCGCACCUACCGAUUGAAUGGUCCGGUGAAAUCUCCGGACUGGCGUGAGUCGGAGCAAUCUGACAAACACCGGAAAGUUGAUUAAACCUUACCAUUUAGAGGAAGGUGAAGUCGUAACA
rnacentral:rRNA from 1 species